GCGGCGGUGGCGGAAUGGUAGACGCGGCGGCCUCAAAAGCCGCUGAGCGAAAGCUCGUGAGGGUUCGAGUCCCUCCCGCCGUA
rfam:Conexibacter woesei DSM 14684, complete genome.